UUGAAAAAAAAAAUAGCCAAAUGCAUCGUCAUCUAAUUAGUGACGCGCAUGAAUGGAUUAACGAGAUUCCCACUAUCCCUAUCUACU
rnacentral:ncRNA from 1 species